rnacentral:rRNA from 1 species
AGUGAACGCUGGCGGUAGGCCUAACACAUGCAAGUCGAACGACAGCACAGAGGAGCUUGCUCCUUGGGUGGCGAGUGGCGGACGGGUGAGGAAUACAUCGGAAUCUACUCUGUCGUGGGGGAUAACGUAGGGAAACUUACGCUAAUACCGCAUACGACCUACGGGUGAAAGCAGGGGACCUUCGGGCCUUGCGCGAUUGAAUGAGCCGAUGUCGGAUUAGCUAGUCGGCGGGGUAAAGGCCCACCAAGGCGACGAUCCGUAGCUGGUCUGAGAGGAUGAUCAGCCACACUGGAACUGGGACACGGUCCAGACUCCUACGGGAGGCAGCAGUGGGGAAUAUGGGACAAUGGGCGCAAGCCUGAUCCAGCCAUACCGCGUGGGUGAAGAAGGCCUUCGGGUUGUAAAGCCCUUUUGUUGGGAAAGAAAUCCAGCUGGCUAAUACCCGGUUGGGAUGACGGUACCCAAAGAAUAAGCACCGGCUAACUUCGUGCCAGCAGCCGCCGCAG